CUGGCGGCGUGCCUAACACAUGCAAGUCGAACGGGAAAACAGGGGCAACUCUGUGAGUACAGUGGCGUACGGGUGAGUAACACGUGACUACCUACCCUCGAGUGGGGGAUAACCCCGGGAAACCGGGGCUAAUACCGCAUAACAUCGCAAGAUCAAAGGAGCAAUCCGCUUGAGGAGGGGGUCGCGGCUGAUUAGCUAGUUGGUGAGGUAACGGCCCACCAAGGCUAUGAUCGGUAGCCGGCCUGAGAGGGCGCACGGCCACACUGGAACUGAAACACGGUCCAGACUCCUACGGGAGGCAGCAGUGGGGAAUUUUGCGCAAUGGGGGAAACCCUGACGCAGCAACGCCGCGUGGAGGAUGAAGUCCCUUGGGACGUAAACUCCUUUCGACCCGGACGAUAAUGACGGUACGGGUGGAAGAAGCACCGGCUAACUUCGUGCCAGCAGCCGCGGUAAUACGAGGGGUGCGAGCGUUGUUCGGAAUUAUUGGGCGUAAAGGGCGCGUANGCGGUGCGGUAAGUCACCUGUGAAAUCUCCCGGCUUAACUGGGAGCUUGCAGGCGAAACUGCCGUGCUGGAGUGUGGGAAAGGUGCGUGGAAUUCCCGGUG
rnacentral:rRNA from 1 species